AUGAACGCUGGCGGCGUGCCUCAUACCUGCCAGUCGCGCGAACAGAUAAGGAGCUUGCUCCUUUGACGUUAGCGGCGGACGGGUGAGUAACACGUGGGUAACCUACCUAUAAGACUGGAAUAACUCCGGGAAACCGGGGCUAAUGCCGGAUAACAUUUAGAACCGCAUGGUUCUAAAGUGAAAGAUGGUUUUGCUAUCACUUAUAGAUGGACCCGCGCCGUAUUAGCUAGUUGGUAAGGUAACGGCUUACCAAGGCAACGAUACGUAGCCGACCUGAGAGGGUGAUCGGCCACACUGGAACUGAGACACGGUCCAGACUCCUACGGGAGGCAGCAGUAGGGAAUCUUCCGCAAUGGGCGAAAGCCUGACGGAGCAACGCCGCGUGAGUGAUGAAGGUCUUCGGAUCGUAAAACUCUGUUAUUAGGGAAGAACAAAUGUGUAAGUAACUAUGCACGUCUUGACGGUACCUAAUCAGAAAGCCACGGCUAACUACGUG
rnacentral:rRNA from 1 species